GAUGAACGCUGGCGGCGUGCCUAAUACAUGCAAGUCGAGCGAACGGACGAGAAGUGUGCUUGGCUGAAGUUAGCGGCGGAUGGGUGAUGAACAGGUGGAUAACCUACCUAGGAGAAUGGGGUAACGUCGGGGAAGCGUAUCUAACACCGGACAAUAUUUUGAACCGGAGGGUUCAUCAGAGAAAGAGGUUCCUGCUGUCACUAAUACGGGGUACCGAGCUGGAGUGGCUAGUUGGUAAGGUAACGGCUUACCAAGGCUACGAUGCGUAGCCGGCCUGAGAGGGUGAUCAGCCACACUGAAACUGAGACACGGUCCAGACUCCUACGGGAGGCAGCAGUGGGGAAUCUUCCGCAAUGGGCGAAAGCCUGACCGAGCCACGCCGCGUGAGUGAAGAAGGUCUUCGGAUUGUAAAGCUCUUUUAUUAGGGAAGAACGUAAGUGUGAGUAUCUGUGGACAUCUUGACGGUACCAACACAGAAAGCCACGGCUAACUUCGUG
rnacentral:rRNA from 1 species